UACGUAGGGUGCGAGCGUUGUCCGGAAUUACUGGGCGUAAAGAGCUUGUAGGUGGUUUGUCGCGUUGUUCGUGAAAUCUCACGGCUCAACUGUGAGCGUGCGGGCGAUACGGGCAGACUAGAGUACUGCAGGGGAGACUGGAAUUCCUGGUGUAGCGGUGGAAUGCGCAGAUAUCAGGAGGAACACCAAUAGCGAAGGCAGCUCGCUGGGACGUUACUGACACUGAGGCGCGAAAGCGUGGGGGAGCGAACAGG
rnacentral:rRNA from 1 species